ACCUGAGGGGCUCAGUCGGUUGAGUGUCUGACUUCAGCUCAGGUCAUGAUCUCACGGUUUGUGAGUUUGAGUCCCACAUCAGGCU
rnacentral:tRNA from 1 species